UAAUACAUGCAAGUCGAACGCACCCUUCGGGGUGAGUGGCGCACGGCUGAGUAACACGUGGGAAUCUGUCUUCUAGUGGGGGAUAACGUCUCGAAAGAGACGCUAAUCCCGCAUACGCUCGGUAACGAGGAAAGGCGCAAGUCGCUAGAAGAGGAGCCUGCGGCCCAUCAGGUAGUUGGAGAGGUAAUGGCUCACCAAGCCUAUGACGGGUAGCUGGUCUGUGAGGACAACCAGCCAGACUGGGACUGAGAACGGCCCAGACUCC
rnacentral:rRNA from 1 species